AAGCUAUGAAAAAGCUUGUCCUGUAACCAAAGAGGAGGCACAAGCAGAAUGUUCUAGACCUAUACAUCACUGCUUUUUUGAAACUGUCGUCCUCCUGUAGCCUGACCCUGCUACAGCUGUGGGCCUAGGAAGCCCGCCGCCCGCUCCCCCAGCCCGCAACCCACCGCACCUUGUGGCCAACCUCUGGACCUGCACAGGUAAGUGGGUACUAUGAGGGGACAGAAACAAGAGUCUUGCAGAGAAAGCUGUAGCUGACAAGGCACUGGAAAAAGCAGAGACAGGAGACCACACAACCUCAGAGAGAGACAGGGGAACAACUGCCCCAACUCUCUGCCCUUCCUGCUGCUGCUUCAUAAGGUUCCUCUGUCGCACACCAAGCACACCAUUUGUUCUUGAGCUUUUGUGAUGUGUCUUUUUUUUUGAGGCAGGUUCUCACUCUGUCACCCAGGCUAGAGUGCAGUGGCACGAUCUCAGCUCACUGCAGCCUCUACCUCCCUGGUUCAAGUGAUUGUCCCUCCUCAGCCUCCUAAGUAGCUGGGAUUAUGGGCAUGCGCCACCACGCCCGGCUAGUUUUUCUAUUUUUAGUAGAGAUGGGGUUUUGUCAUGUUGGCCAGGCUGGUCUUGGAACUCCUGACCUCAGGUGAUCCACCCACCUUGGCCUCCCAAACUGCUGGGAUUACAGGCCUGAGCCACCACGCCCAUUCUGCACCUGUAACCAGACAAACUUCAACCAAGAUUCAUUUCCAUGUGUGUUCUCCCCGAGCUUCCUCUUUUCCCCGGGUGGCCCUGAGACUUUGCAAAACAGCCACUGGCACCCGCUGGAACCCGGGCCGAGGAGGAGAACUUUGCUCCCAUACAUCCUUAGCCAAACAACAGCACAGAAACCUUUGCCCAUCCCUGAUUACUUUUUUUCAAGAGGGAAAAGUUUAUUGCAGGUUGGGGACACUUGUAAAAGGCAA
rnacentral:lncRNA from 10 species